UAAAAACAGUCUGGAAAUGGAGCCGCUGCUAUUGGGCUUUAGUUUCCUAAGCCAGUUGCUGUGGCACAGAAAAUACCUUUUCUGGGUGAGAUUGCUCUGUUGGGCCACCCAGAUCUCCUGCCUUAUGGCAGAGCAGAGGCCAGUUGGCCAGAGCCCUGAUUCUCUGGCUUUAGCUCCUACUUUAAGGCUCGGACCUAGUCCGCGCUGAUCAAAGUGAGCUCGCGGCAUUUUUAUGAGAUCAACUUCAGUGGCUCUUUACUAGCAAUCAGAUGCCUAGGUCGAAAAUGCAAAAGGGAACAAACAGCUAAUCGAUCCAAAAAGGAAAAGGAAAAAAAAAGAGAGAGGGGUGAGGAGGCAUGGGGUGAAAAAACUUCAGGUGACACAGAGCAAAAAGUGUCCUGUCACUAAAAACAAAAAAAAGAUUCUUUGGCUCCAGCAAGAAGCGUUUGUUUGUGGAUCUGUUCCAGCCUCCAGGCCCUGCCUUCUGCCUGCACAUUCUGCCCUGAUUUCCGGAACCUGGAAGUCUGGGCGGGCAGUGGGGAACUCUGACUUGCCUGAGCUCUGAAGCUUGCUCCGAAAGCUUCCACAGUGAGGACUGCUGUGUGGGGUCCUGCUCCGCUUCGCAGUGGAAUGGAACGGAUUUAGAAGCCUGCAGUAGGGGAGGAGGGAGUGGAGAGCGGGAACCCAGAGUUACAGACAGCAGCGAGAGUAAAGAAAGAAGCGGAGCGGGGGUCUUUAUUUUUUUAAGGCCCCAAAGAGCCCGGUGUUUACAAGACCAGAAAUGCCACCGCCACGUCCUGGCAGAGAAAAGGCUGAAAUGGAGAACGGGCGCCUUCCUUAUAAGCUCAUUGGGGCCUGAGCCAGCGCCGACAUGGUAGAGAAAGCAACCGCGAAGCUAGAGAGGGAGCCAGAGGAGGGAAGAGAGCGCCAGACGGAGGUGAAAGUGAACCACGAAGAGAAAUGCAGGCAAGGGAGCAAGGCGGCAGUUCCCCGAACAAAUGUGGCAGAGGGCAACACAGGCACUCACAGAGAGAGGUUUACGUAUUUUUAUUAUUUUUUAAAAUCUGAUUUGGUGUUCCAUGAGAAAAAGGGAAAAUCUCGGGAACGGGAAUACAGAGGGAAUUAUCCGGGUCCUAGCUCACCACAUGAACGUUCAGAAGGAGGGAACGCCGGAAAAACCCGAGCGGGUGCAGGGACAGCACCCGGCUCCGGUCCGCUGCCCCAUAGCUCCCAGGCAGGGCCCACGAAGCCCCGCCUUGCGGCCACCCGGGCUUCCUUGGUCUUCUUAUCAUCUCCAUCUUUAUGACGAGGCUUGUUAACAAGACCGGCGAGCUGGCCACGCACAUCUAUCUCAGUCGCGCCCGCUCAGCUGAGCAGCGGGCCGGCGAGGGGACUGAGAGGCGCUAAUUAAUUGAUUCCUUUGGACUGUAAAAUACGGCGGAGUCAACACCGAACCCAAGGACUCAUAAACAAUAUCUCCGUUGGGCGUGAGUGCACUGUCUCUCAAAGAAUUUUUCCAUAGGCAUGUGUCAGAGGGUUCCGGAUUUUUAGUUGCUAAGGAAAGACCCAAAUGGGACUAAUUUUAGAGGGCCAGAACAGUCCGUUCAGUGCCAGAAAAUGCUUCCCCAAAGGGGUUGGGAGUGUGUUUUGUUGGAAAAAAAGCUUGGGUUAUAGGAAAGCCUUCCCUGCUACUUGCAUAGACCCAGCCCAGUUUAAGAAUUACAAGGAAGCUAAGGAGCUGGGUAACCCAGAAACCUCUCUGUCCCAGCUGGAUUCGUGGUACUUGAGCUGCUCUGUCUGGGAUGUGAGAGGGACACAGAAGCAGAGGUCCAGCCUUUACUUCAUGCUGCUUCUUAGACUCAAGAUUCAAAAAUAAUUUUUUAAAAAUGAAACCAGGCAGGGUGCGGUGGCUCACAACCUGUAAUGCCAGCACUUUGGGAGGCCGAGGGGGCGGAUCACGAGGUCAAGAGAUCGAGACCAUCCUGGGCAGCAUGGUAAAGCCCCGUCUCUACUAAAAAUACAAAAAUUAGCUGGGCAUGGUGCACGUCUAUAGUCCCAGCUACUGGGGAGGCUGAAGAAGGAGAAUAGCUAGAACCUGGGGCAAAGGUUGCAGUGAGCUGAGAUCACGCUACUGCACCUCAGCCUGGCGACAGAGUGAGACUCAGUCCCAGAAAGCAAUGAAAAAUAAAAUAAAUAAAAAAUAAAAGUGAAACCAGCCCUAGCCUUUGGAAGCCCUUGAAGUCUCAGCACCCGCUCAGGAAUCCACCUGCCUGUUACAUGCCUUGCCAAGCCACGAUGGCACCCCUUUUCUAACAGGCAGUGCAGAGAAACUAUAAUAUAUUUAUAUUAGGUCUAUAAGAAUGCAUCUUGAGACACAUGGGUAACCUAAUUAUAUAAUGCUUAUUCCAUACAGGCAAGAUUAUGCAGUGGGACCCUGCUGCAAAUGGGACUUUACACUGUAAAUAUAGACCCCAGCUUGGGACAAAAGUUGCAACAGAGAAAUGGACAUAGGAGAACACUUAUAUAAGUAAUGCAUGUAGACAUAGAAGGGGGAUUUAAAAGACAGAAAUAAUAAAGUACAGAAGAACAGAAAAAAAAAGACCCACCAGAUGGAGAUUACUACUGCCAAUGCCUGAACUUCCUCCUGCUAGUAAGAUUGCUAGAGAAAUGUGUCUUAAACAGUUCAUAAUCCCAGAGGAAUGCACUUUUUAGUACACACACAGCAUAUUUAUAAACAUAACUCAGAAAGUAUUUUCCAUACAUUGGGUAGAUAAGCACUUUGUGUAUAUAUAAUAAUAUAUUUCCCAUGCAGUUUUAAAAUGUAGACAUAUUAAUAUCUAGGUGCAUUUUCUAUCUAUUGGUUUUAUAUGCCUUAUGGAGUAUAUGCUCACAUGUAGCUAAAUAGACUCAGGACUGCACAUUCCUUGUGUAGGAUGUGUGUGUAUAGUGGUUAUAUGUGUAAAUAAAGUUUUACAUGUGGUGAA